AUUGCUUCUCAGCAUUUUGGCUAAGAUCAAAUAUGGUAUCUGUCCUAAUCAGUUUAAAAUAAGAUUACAAAUGAAACCAAUUAUAUUAAAACACAGUUACCAUUUUUUUUUUUUUUUUUGUCUUUUUAGGGCUGUACCCACAGCAUAUGGAGGUUCCCAGGCUAGGGGUUGAAUCGGAGCUGUAGCCUACACCAC
rnacentral:snRNA from 1 species